rnacentral:rRNA from 1 species
GAGUUUGAUCAUGGCUCAGAACGAACGCUAGCGGGAUGCCUCAAACAUGCAAGUCGAACGCGAAAGCCCUUCGGGGCAAGUAGAGUGGCGCACGGGUGCGUAACACGUAGCUAACGUGUCCUUUCGCUGGGGACAACUCCGGGAAACCGGAGCUAAUACCGAAUGAACUGCCCAGGUCUGCGGACCAGGUCGGUAAAGCCGUAAGGCGCGAAAGGAGCGGGCUGCGUCCUAUUAGUUUGAUGGUGGGGUAACGGCCUACCAUGGCGACGAUAGGUAGCUGGUCUGAGAGGAUGAUCAGCCACACUGGAACUGAAACACGGUCCAGACUCCCACGGGAGGCAGCAGUUGGGAAUAUUGGACAAUGGGGGAAACCCUGAUCCAGCAAUCCCGCGUGAGGGACGAAGGCUCUCGGGUCGUAAACCUCUUUUAGAAGGGAAGAAGGGAAACUUGACGGUACCUUCAGAAGAAGCACCGGCUAACUCCGUGCCAGCAGCCGCGGUAAUACGGAGGGUGCAAGCGUUGUUCGGAAUCA